rnacentral:lncRNA from 1 species
GCCUCGACUCUUCCCUUUCUCUUCAGUCAAGGAAGCAGUCACUUUUUGCCAGACUGGAAAAUAUUAUUGUUACAGAUGUUGAUCCUAAGACAGUUCAUAAAAAAGCUGUGUCAAUAAUGGGAAAUGAAGUUUUUCGUUUUAACUUGGAUUUGUACCCAGAUGCGACUGAAGGGGAUUCAUACACUGACAUGUCCAAAGUGGAUGGCGUGGUGUCGCUGAAUGUUGGCUGCAUUCAGAUUGUCUAUCUUCAUAAGUUCCUUGUGUCCCUUUUGAACUUCCUGAACAAUUUCCAGACAGCCAAAGAGGCCCUGAGCGCAGCCACCGCGCAGGCUGCAGAAAAGGCCGCCACCAGUGUGAAAGACCUUGCCCAGCGGAGUUUGCGCUUCUCUGUCAGCAUUAAUUUGAAAGCACCCGUUAUUGUCAUCCCACAGUCUUCUGUUUCCAGCAACGCUGUUGUGGUGGACCUUGGUUUGAUCAGAGUUCAGAACCAGUUCAGUCUUGUGUCUGGGGAAGGGUCUGUAAAUCCUCCUGUGAUCGAUAGAAUGGAUGUGCAGCUCACGGACCUGAAGCUGUCCAGGACAGUGAUCCAACCAGGCACCUCCCAGCCUGAUAUUCAGCUGUUGCACCCAAUUAACUUUGAGUUUUUUGUAAAUCGAAAUCUACCUGCAAAUUGGUAUCAUAAGGUACCUGUUGUGGAAAUUAAAGGACAUCUUGAUACAAUGACUGUUUGUCUAAAUCAAGAAGAUCUUAAUGUUUUGUUUAGAAUACUGUCGGAAAAUCUUGGUGAAACUCCUGAAGAGUUAGAUAACGUGAAACCAAGAGUACCAGAGACAGGUGAAAUCAAAGAUGCCCCUGAAAUUUCUACAUCACAGAGAUUACAAGCUUCGAAAGAUGCUUCAAGAGCUGAAAGAGAAGAAAUUAGAUCUGUAAACAUUGUUAAUGUACUGCUGAAUUUUGAAAUUAAAGAGGUUAUGGUGAUGCUGAUGAAAAAGGCGGAAAAGAGUGGGAGGCCAGUGCACGAGUUCAGUGUCCUGCAGCUUGGAGUGGAAGCUAGAGUUCAAGCUUAUGCCGUGACCGCUGAAGCUUAUCUCCAGCAAGUCAGCAUGCAGUGCCUGGAUUUCACUGACGCAGAAGGAGGCCCUCUGCACAUUGUGCGCUCCUCUCGCGUGACUAAGGAGCCGCUCCUGAAGAUGGCCUUGACCAAGGCAGACAGUGAUGGACCGGAAUUUAAAACUGUUCAUGACAAUACCAAACAGAGACUAAAGGUUUCAUUUUCAUCCUUAGACAUAUUACUUCAUUUAGAAGCUUUACUUUCCCUUAUGGAUUUUUUGUCAUCGGCUGUUCCAUCCUCUGAGUCAUCUUCUAGGAAGGAAUCUGAGCUAAAACCACUUGUAGGGGAGUCCAGAAGUAUUGCCAUCAAAGCUGUAUCUGGCACCAUUUCUAAAGAGGAUAUGUUCGAUUUAAAGGUUACAGCUGAAUUAGAUGCUAUUAAUGUUCUGUAGCUGAUGUUAAAAUACAUG